rnacentral:rRNA from 1 species
UUGGGUAAGUCGGGGCCUAAGGCGAGGACGAGAGUCGUAGCCGAUGGACAACAGGUGGAGAUUCCUGUACUGCGGUAUGACAGAACUGUGGGGACACGUAAGGAAAGCGGAAGCCGGGAAUGGAAAGCCCGGUGCAAGCGGGGUACCAGUCACUCAGGCAAAUCCGGGUGGCAAUGGGAAGCCGUGAUGCGGAGCGAAAUACAAGUAGCGAAGUCCGUGAGCCAUGCGUCAAGAAAAGCCGCUAUUGUUUAUACCGUACCCGUACCGUAAACCGACACAGGUGGAUGAGGAGAGAAUCCUAAGGCCGGCGGAAGAAGCAUUGUCAAGGAACUCGGCAAAAUGACCCCGUAACUUCGGGAGAAGGGGUGCCACUGAGAAGUGGCCGCAGAGAAUAGGCUCAAGCAACUGUUUAGCAAAAACACAGGUCUAUGCGAAACCGAAAGGUGAGGUAUAUGGGCUGACGCCUGCCCGGUGCUGGAAGGUUAAGAGGAGAGGUUAGCGCAAGCGAAGCUUUGAAUUUAAGCCCCAGUAAACGGCGGCCGUAACGAUAACGGUCCUAAGGUAGCGAAAUUCCUUGUCGGGUAAGUUCCGACCCGCACGAAAGGCGUAAUGAUUUGAGCGCUGUCUCGACAAUGCAUCCGGUGAAAUUGAAGUACCAGUGAAGAUGCUGGUUACCUGCGCCAGGACGGAAAGACCCCAUGGAGCUUUACUCCAGUCUGGUACUGGGGUCCGGUAUUGCAUGUACAGGAUAGGUGGGAGGCUAGGAAGCAGCAACGCCAGUUGCUGCGGAGCCGCUGUUGGGAUACCACCCUUGCAGUACUGGGCUUCUAACCAGCCGCCGUGAACCGGCGGUGGGACAAUGCCAGACGGGGAGUUUGACUGGGGCGGUCGCCUCCGAAAGGGUAUCGGAGGCGCCCAAAGGUUCCCUCAGAAUGGACGGAAACCAUUCGAAGAGUGCAAAGGCAGAAGGGAGCUUGACUGCGACACCGACGGGUGGAGCAGGUACGAAAGUAGGGCUUAGUGAUCCGGUGGUAUUAAGUGGGAAUGCCAUCGCUCAACGGAUAAAAGCUACCCUGGGAUAACAGGCUUAUCACUCCCAAGAGUUCACAUCGACGGAGUGGUUUGGCACCUCGAUGUCGGCUCAUCGCAUCCUGGGGCUGUAGUAGGUCCCAAGGGUUGGGCUGUUCGCCCAUUAAAGCGGUACGCGAGCUGGGUUCAGAACGUCGUGAGACAGUUCGGUCCCUAUCCGGCGUGGGCGUAGGAUAUCUGAGAGGAGCUGUCCUUAGUACGAGAGGACCGGGAUGGACGGACCGCUGGUGUACCGGUUAGACUGCCAAGUCUACGGCCGGGUAGCCAAGUCCGGAAGGGAUAAACGCUGAAGGCAUCUAAGCGUGAAGCCCCCCUCAAGAUGAGAUGUCCCAUUCGAAAGAAGUAAACCCCCUUGAAGACGACGAGGUAGAUAGGGCAGGGGUGGAAGUGCAGUAAUGCACGGAGCUGUCUGUUACUAAUAGGGUGAGGGCUUGACCU